rnacentral:rRNA from 1 species
CAAAUCAGCAUGCCCCUUAUAUCUUGGGCUACACACGUGCUACAAUGGUCGGUACAAACAGUUGCGAUCUCGUAAGAGGGAGCUAAUCUGAAAAAGCCGAUCUCAGUUCGGAUUGAGGGCUGCAACUCGCCCUCAUGAAGCCGGAAUCGCUAGUAAUCGCGAAUCAGCAAUGUCGCGGUGAAUACGUUCUCGGGUCUUGUACACACCGCCCGUCACACCAUGAGAGUUGAUAAUACCAGAAGUCGGUAUUCUAACCGCAAGGAGGAAGCCGCCCAAGGUAGGAUUGAUGAUUAGGGUGAAGUCGUAACAAGGUAUCCGUACGAGAACGUGCGGAUGGAUCA